GGGAUCGUGGCGCAGUUGGCUAGCGCGUAGGUCUCAUACCCGUGGUCAGGGGUCAAAACCUGACAACGAAACAGUAUGACCUGAACAAGGGCAAUCCUAAGGUCGUGAGUUCGAGCCUCACCGAUCCCA
rfam:Gaeumannomyces graminis var. tritici R3-111a-1 unplaced genomic scaffold supercont2.3, whole genome shotgun sequence.